AGGCGACGCCCGUGCAUCCGGCCAGCGUGUCUGGGUCCCGUGGGCACCGCGCAGCAGGUGGCCUAGGCCAGCGUACCCCUAGGGUCGCGGACGCGCGUUGGGAGCCGCUCCCCGCAGCGCAGAGUGGACAUGAAGGGCGGAGGCGGUUCCCUCGAGCAUGGUCCAUUCUUGCACCAAGAAGGUCGUGGAAGGACUGUGAUGGAGGGGAAGAACGCGCCCGACAUUCUUGUUUUUCUGGACUUAUCGCCCGCCCCCGCUCGCGCAUCUCAGCGUCCCUGCGCCCCGCUUCCCAGGAGCACACGAAGCCCCCCCUCCGGCAUCUGACAGCGCCCGCCGCUUCCCGGCUCGGCCUGCAGGUGCGUGGCCAAGCCCAAAUAGCCCCUGCUGGCCAUGGUGGGCGGCUAGCGUGUCCCUCUCGGCCAGUUGACGCCACCGCCUCCGUCUGGACACCGACUGCGCCGCAGCGCACCCCGCGCAGGGAAGCCCAGCUUCAUUCAGGGCGCUCCCGCCGCCUUCCAGCCUCUCAGGAUUUUGAGCUCCUGAUCCAAUCAUGCUGACUCGUUUCAUCCUCCUCCCCUACUUGGUUUGUGGAAGGGCCGAGCACCAAGGAAGCGCCUGACACUUCCUUCCUUGGACACGAAUCCAUUAUUCUGCGCUUUGUCUCUGUAUCUGACCCGCUGUUAUUCUCCAGUUGUAUUGUCCUCAGUUCCUUUUCUCCUCUAACCACCAGAGCAUAUGCUGGAGAGUUCUUUAAAACUCUUCAAAGAGAUUAAGAUACUCUGACUUGACACUCAGAUUAUUAUUAUACAAACCUCCACAAUGUGGCUUUUUUCAUGACUUAAUGAAUUCAAGUGUUUUCUAGUUUUAUCCUCAUAAAGCAUUCACAUCACUCGUUGACUAAUCCUUUCUACAGUUUUCCACAGCUUUUUGAUCUCUAGUUUCUGAAACCCAUUUUUUCCUAUCUCCCAUCUCUGCCUCUUUUUUUGUUCUCUAGAAAGCUACAAAAUUAGUAACUAUGAUUUUGCAACCCAAUUUAUAAGUUUUCCAGUACAGAGUGUACAGGGAAACUUCAGCAAGAAACUUCUCAGCGACUCCAGCUGGCCUCAGCUUCCCUCUCCUGACAGUGUCACGGGUUCCACCAACCCUUGAUGGAGUCCAGCCUCGAUUGCCGCAGCCAGCACCAUCUGUGGGGCCCAGAAGUGCUCCGUUCUGCUUUCCGUUUAGUUCCAGGGGUAGGAAAUGAUUCAUUCAAGGGAAGAAGCAUUUACUGAAUCUACCCUAGUGUUUAAAUAUUACUAUGUGUAAUCCUCACACCAGCACCUCGUGGCAAGGUAUCAAGGUCCACAUUUUACUGAUGAGAAAACUAUGCUGGUCUAAGGCCAAAGAGGCAAGAAGAGAUUGUAGCCCAGGUCUGUGUAAUUUUCCUGCACCAUCUCACCGGUGGCAAGGCUGACUCUUGAAAGGGAGAUCAAUUUAGGAAACGAAGAUUGAAACAAAAAAAUCAUCCCCCCCUAAUGUAUACCCCUGUAUAUGUACAAAUGAGUCUAGGGUUCAUCAGAGACUGGCCUGGUGCUUUUGCAACUAGGCAGCCUCGGUCACCUCACCCCUGAUGCCUGAGAAACUGAGACUCUGAGAGGCUAAUGGGAGUGCACACAUGGGCCAUGGCACCUGUGCUGUGCUCUAGGGCAGGGCUUAGCCUGCAGUCCUGGCCACAGACAGUUGCCAUCUAUUCUGGGCGCGGGGGGUGGGGGAGGUGUUACCUGGAGUCCUGACACCACCUUACAAAGAUGUGCAGCAACAGUGGCGACCGCUUUCUGACAAGAGAAAAAGGCAGACUGUUUCCUGCCCCUGGUGCUGCUGACCCAGUCAUUUAAAGUAUUGAUGUGCUUUUGCCACUAUCUCCUCGCCUAUCUUGGGAUUCAGUUCCCUCCUAAUCAGGUCUGUUCUAAGCUUUCCAUUUAUAUAGUGCUUCUGCGUGGAGGAGAGGAGAAAUGAACUGAAAGACAACACUCCCCUAAUAUUGGGCCAGCCUUUCCUUUGGUCUAAUUUCUCUGAGCUAAUUGGAAAAUGCCUCUUAUUAUCCUUAGAAUUUUUCUAAACAUCGGCUCUAGACAUAGGGUGCUAGCACUCCUAACACUUUUCAGUCCACCCUCUUCUUCAUCUGUCUUUGGCACAUAGUAGGCCCUCAAUAAACAUGUUAAAUG
ensembl:lncRNA